UGUCCCUAAAGUCAUGACAUGUUGGGGACAGGCUUUCUUGUGGGAACUGGUGAAGGUGCCAAGCUUUCUUCACAGACAGAGAUGAACCAGAUCCAGAUCAGCCCAUGGGGACAUGAAGAUAGAAGAUGGCAUAAAACAAAAACUGGCCGCCAGCGACCUGAGCUGCCUAACUUUGAGGGGGAAAAGGGAGCUUUGGGUAACCCCUGUUCAGUAGCCAAGAAUUAGCAAGGAAAACACUGCUGGCCGCUCUCUAACUGAUGCCUCUGCCAAGGCUGCAGGUACGUCGCUCCUGAGCGUGUGUCUGGGGGAACUGCUCUGUGAAACACAUCCUCUCAGGACCUGUUUCCUACCACCAAGAGGAUUCCUGCAACGCAGAGCUAAAGGCUAAUUUUCUUAAUAGAAACCCAUAUCCUUAAAAUAAAAUAAAAAAUGACCUGUUAAGCCCA